rnacentral:lncRNA from 1 species
AGACUUUGCUUUAUUUUUGGUUCUCGUCCUUCCCCGCUGGAACCAGUAGUCUCUCUCUCUCGAGCUGAUCCUCCUUUAAAAAAAAAAAGAGCGAGCGAGCAAGAGAGAGAGGGAAAAAAGAGCAGCUGGAGUUUCUCCUCAGCUCGUUUUGACUUUUGUGGACGUGGAUCAUCUGGAGUGGGAAGGGAAGGCGCGCCGCCUCGCUCGCCYCUUUCCCACCCCCUCUCCCCUGCAGCAGCCUGGGCUGCCGGCUCUCCCCCGAGGCGGACGGGAACUUUUAUUUGCAGCUCGCAGCCCGUGGCGGAUGGUGGGACUCUCCGGCCCUCUGCAGCGUUUGCGAUUGCCUCACUGAGCAUGAUGAAACGCUGAAAUUCACAACCCAACUGUCUGGAGUGGCACAUAUAUUACUGUAUGUCAUCUCUGCCUUCAGGUUGCCUUAUCACUGAAGCAGAAUGGUAAUGGAUGGCAGCAGAGUACUUUAG